rnacentral:rRNA from 1 species
GGACUCCUACGGGGGGCAGCAGUGAGGAAUAUUGGUCAAUGGGCAGAAGCCUGAACCAGCCAAGUCGCGUGAGGGAAUAAGGCCCUACGGGUCGUAAACCUCUUUUGCCGGGGAGCAAGGGCGGGGACGUGUCCCGGCCCGGAGAGUACCCGGAGAAAAAGCAUCGGCUAACUCCGUGCCAGCAGCCGCGGUAAUACGUAGGUGGCAAGCGUUAUCCGGAUUUAUUGGGUGUAAAGGGCGUGUAGGCGGGAAAGCAAGUCAGAUGUGAAAACUCAGGGCUCAACCCUGAGCCUGCAUUUGAAACU